UACGUAGGGUGCAAGCGUUAAUCGGAAUUACUGGGCGUAAAGCGUGCGCAGGCGGUUUUGUAAGACCGGGGUGAAAUCCCCGGGCUUAACCUGGGAAUUGCAUUUGUGACUGCAUGGCUAGAGUGUGUCAGAGGGGGGUAGAAUUCCACGUGUAGCAGUGAAAUGCGUAGAUAUGUGGAGGAAUACCGAUGGCGAAGGCAGCCCCCUGGGAUAACACUGACGCUCAUGCACGAAAGCGUGGGGAGCAAACAGG
rnacentral:rRNA from 1 species